CGUAACAAGGUCUCCGUUGGUGAACCAGCGGAGGGAUCAUUACCGAGUUUACAACUCCCAAACCCCUGUGAACAUACCUUUAAUGUUGCCUCGGCGGAUCAGCCCGCGCCCCGUAAAACGGGACGGCCCGCCAGAGGACCCAAACUCUAAUGUUUCUUAUUGUAACUUCUGAGUAAAACAAACAAAUAAAUCAAAACUUUCAACAACGGAUCUCUUGGUUCUGGCAUCGAUGAAGAACGCAGCAAAAUGCGAUAAGUAAUGUGAAUUGCAGAAUUCAGUGAAUCAUCGAAUCUUUGAACGCACAUUGCGCCCGCUGGUAUUCCGGCGGGCAUGCCUGUUCGAGCGUCAUUUCAACCCUCAAGCCCCCGGGUUUGGUGUUGGGGAUCGGCUCUGCCUCACGGCGGUGCCGCCCCCGAAAUACAUUGGCGGUCUCGCUGCAGCCUCCAUUGCGUAGUAGCUAACACCUCGCAACUGGAACGCGGCGCGGCCAUGCCGUAAAACCCCAAACUUCUGAAUGUUGACCUCGGAUCAGGUAGGAAUACCCGCUGAACUUAAGCAUAUCAAUAAGCGGAGGAAAAGAAACCAACAGGGAUUGCCCUAGUAACGGCGAGUGAAGCGGCAACAGCUCAAAUUUGAAAUCUGGCUUUCGGGCCCGAGUUGUAAUUUGUAGAGGAUACUUUUGAUGCGGUGCCUUCCGAGUUCCCUGGAACGGGACGCCAUAGAGGGUGAGAGCCCCGUCUGGUUGGAUGCCAAAUCUCUGUAAAGUUCCUUCGACGAGUCGAGUAGUUUGGGAAUGCUGCUCUAAAUGGGAGGUAUAUGUCUUCUAAAGCUAAAUAUUGGCCAGAGACCGAUAGCGCACAAGUAGAGUGAUCGAAAGAUGAAAAGCACUUUGAAAAGAGAGUUAAAAAGUACGUGAAAUUGUUGAAAGGGAAGCGUUUAUGACCAGACUUGGACUUGGUUAAUCAUCUGGGGUUCUCCCCAGUGCACUUUUCCAGUUCAGGCCAGCAUCAGUUUUCGCCGGGGGAUAAAGGCAGCGGGAAUGUGGCUCUCUUCGGAGAGUGUUAUAGCCCGUUGUGUAAUACCCUGGUGGGGACUGAGGUUCGCGCUUCUGCAAGGAUGCUGGCGUAAUGGUCAUCAACGACCCGUCUUGAAACACGGACCAAGGAGUCGUCUUCGUAUGCGAGUGUUCGGGUGUCAAACCCCUACGCGUAAUGAAAGUGAACGCAGGUGAGAGCUUCGGCGCAUCAUCGACCGAUCCUGAUGUUCUCGGAUGGAUUUGAGUAAGAGCAUACGGGGCCGGACCCGAAAGAAGGUGAACUAUGCCUGUAUAGGGUGAAGCCAGAGGAAACUCUGGUGGAGGCUCGCAGCGGUUCUGACGUGCAAAUCGAUCGUCAAAUAUGGGCAUGGGGGCGAAAGACUAAUCGAC
rnacentral:sRNA from 1 species